rnacentral:lncRNA from 1 species
GAUCCGUACUCGAAUCACCAAUGUUAUGUUCGGAUCCUUUUAGAGAUUAUACUGCGCCGGCGCGACAAGCUGACUCAAGCUUCGACUUGUCACGAAGUGUAAACAAACACAGAUUGAGAGUGAAGACCGAAUGCAUCGGAGUUUGUAAAAAGUUAGUUAUACUGUUAUAGUUACAAAAUAGAAUUAGUAAAUAAAUUAGUAUAAUAUAAACUAUAGAUAGACAUAAUAUAAGUGAACGUGUAAAGCUACAGGAAUAUAUUACUAAUGUCUUCAGAAUCUUCAAAACAACCUUCUGGUGAAGAUGACAGUAGAAAAGAUCAAUUUGUUUCAUUAUCGGAUCAAGAACCAUCGAACUGUACUGAAUCAGCUGACUCUGAAGACGAUGAAAUAAUUGAAACACC